CCUACGGGAGGCAGCAGUGAGGAAUAUUGGUCAAUGGACGCAAGUCUGAACCAGCCAUGCCGCGUGCAGGAAGACGGCUCUAGGAGUUGUAAACUGCUUUUGUACGAGGGUAAACGCAGAUACGCGUAUCUGUCUGAAAGUAUCGUACGAAUAAGGAUCGGCUAACUCCGUGCCAGCAGCCGCGGUAAUACGGAGGAUUCAAGCGUUAUCCGGAUUUAUUGGGUUUAAAGGGUGCGUAGGCGGUCGGAUAAGUUAGUGGUGAAAUCCCGAGGCUCAACUUCGGAAUUGCAUCUGAUACUGUGCGGCUAGAGAGUAGUUGAGGUAGGCGGAAUUGAUGGUGUAGCGGUGAAAUGCUUAGAGAUCAUACAGAACACCGAUUGCGAAGGCAGCUUACCGAGCUACUACUGACGUUGAGGCACGAAAGCGUGGGGAGCAAACAGGAUUAGAUACCCCUGUAGUC
rnacentral:rRNA from 1 species